GACGAACGCUGGCGGCGUGCUUAACACAUGCAAGUCGAACGGAAAGGCCCUGCUUUUGUGGGGUGCUCGAGUGGCGAACGGGUGAGUAACACGUGAGUAACCUGCCCUUGACUUUGGGAUAACUUCAGGAAACUGGGGCUAAUACCGGAUAGGAGCUCCUGCUGCAUGGUGGGGGGGGGAAAGUUUCGGCGGUUGGGGAUGGACUCGCGGCUUAUCAGCUUGUUGGUGGGGUAGUGGCUUACCAAGGCUUUGACGGGUAGCCGGCCUGAGAGGGUGACCGGCGACGUUGGGACUGAGAUACGGCCCAGACUAGUACGGGAGGCAGCAGAGGAGAAUAUUGCACAAUGGGCGGAAGCCUGCUGCAGCACCGCCGCGUGCGGGAUGACGGCCUUCGGGUAGUAAACCGCAUCCGCCUGUGACGAAGCGUGAGUGACGGUAAUGGGUAAAGAAGCACCGGCUAACUACGUG
rnacentral:rRNA from 1 species